UACGUAGGCGGGAAAUUAAGUCAGUAGUGAAAUCCCACAGCUUAACUGUGGAACUGUUAUUGAUACUGGUUUUCUUGAAUAUAGUUGAGGUAGGCGGAAUGUGUAAUGUAGCGGUGAAAUGCUUAGAUAUUACACAGAACACCGAUUGCGAAGGCAGCUUACUAAGCUAUGAUUGACGCUGAGGUACGAAAGCGUGGGGAGCGAACAGGAUUAGAUACCCUGGUAGUCA
rnacentral:rRNA from 1 species